AAAAAUGGUCAAGCUGUGACUCCACACUCACAGGAAGGCAGCAGUGACUGCACUGACUCCGUCUCUGUUUGAAAUUGCUGUGAGCUGCAAAUCCACAUGGUGAAGUUCAGACUGAGUUACAGUCAGAGCUAUGGAGAGAAACUUCAUGGAGGUCAAGAGACUCCUCUCGUUCUGCAUCCUUGUGAGGAAGCAGGAAAAGAGCAGAUUUUGCCCAUCAAGAUGGGAUACAGAUGGUGAUGGGAAAGGAGGGUCUGCUGUGCAAGAAGAGAUGAAUUAGACUUCCAGAAUUGUAUGUUAAUGCAACUGCAUCUAAUACUGGAUUUCUCCAUCUUCAGAAGCUUGAAGGGUUUUUUGAAAGCAUCGUUGCUCACAUGGGGGUUGUAUGCUAACUGAAAUUGCUGCUGCUUAACCCAUCCAUUGCAAAGUGCUGUUAAAAUCAUGUACUUCAUGUAUUCUGGAAUGUAAGCAUGUGGGGCAAAAUAAACAGAUUUUAAACCCUCCUUCUAAAGCA
rnacentral:lncRNA from 14 species